rnacentral:rRNA from 1 species
UACGGAGGGUGCAAGCGUUAUCCGGAUUCACUGGGUUUAAAGGGUGCGUAGGCGGCAUUGUAAGUCCGUGGUGAAAUCUCCAAGCUUAACUUGGAAACUGCCGUGGAUACUAUAAUUCUUGAAUAUCGCGUAGGUAAGCGGAAUAUGUCAUGUAGCGGUGAAAUGCUUAGAUAUGACAUAGAACACCAAUUGCGAAGGCAGUUUACUUCACGAUCAUUGACACUGAGGCACGAAAGCGUGGGGAGCAAACAGG